AUUGAACGCUGGCGGCAGGCUUAACACAUGCAAGUCGAGCGGGGGAAGGUAGCUUGCUCCCGGACCUAGCGGCGGACGGGUGAGUAAUGCUUAGGAAUCUGCCUAUUAGUGGGGGACAACAUCUCGAAAGGGAUGCUAAUACCGCAUACGUCCUACGGGAGAAAGCAGGGGAUCUUCGGACCUUGCGCUAAUAGAUGAGCCUAAGUCGGAUUAGCUAGUUGGUGGGGUAAAGGCCUACCAAGGCGACGAUCUGUAGCGGGUCUGAGAGGAUGAUCCGCCACACUGGGAGUGAGACACGGCCCAGACGCCUACGGGAGGCAGCAGUGGGGAAUAUUGGACAAUGGGGGGAACCCUGAUCCAGCCAUGCCGCGUGUGUGAAGAAGGCCUUAUGGUUGUAAAGCACUUUAAGCGAGGAGGAGGCUACUUUAGUUAAUACCGAGAGAUAGUGGACGUUACUCGCAGAAUAAGCACCGGCUAACUCUGUG
rnacentral:rRNA from 1 species